rnacentral:tRNA from 1 species
GGGGGCGUGGCUCAGUGGUAGAGCACUUGCCUAGCAAGUGUGAUCCUGGGUUCUAUCCCCAGCAACUCCC